rnacentral:lncRNA from 1 species
UUGAAACAAUACUUUUAUUCAAAAAUUAUAUCUUACAGCAUAUAAAAGAGUUUUUUAAAACAUAAAAGAUACUUCAUGAAAAAGUUAUGUGCUUUAGAUACGUGAAAAACUCAUAGGAGAAAAUUAGAAGAAUAAAAAUCCAAGAAAAGAUCCAUAGGUUCGCUGAUUUCCAAACAUUUUCUUUCAACAAGGUUCCUCUUUAGCUGCAACUCCAAGAAAAGCUGGAUUGGAUACACCUCUCUGUCAUUCCUACCUGAUCUGUUGCAAUUGGGAAGCAUUUUUCCCACUUAAUGGGCAUGCUUUCCUACAGGUAACAUUCAUGGAGGGGCAUCUCCUCCCCUUCAUUCUCUUCUUCGCCCUUCUCCUCCAUGCGGCAUUUGCCAUGGUUUAGCCUGUGUUGGGUAGAGUUGGUGUACUUUUGUGUAUCCCUUUUGAGUUAUCCAUGGGGUGAAGUACGUAGCUGUCUAUUUCACAUUCCUGAAGUACUGAAACACUUUUUCAGCAACUCAUGAUGUAUAAAUCUUUGUAAAAUAAACCAUGCAAUCAAAUAAUGUAUACAUAUAAAAAUUAUCAUUUUAUUCAAAACCAAUUUUGUCUCUCAUCUUUCUCUUUGUUAUGCUUUUGUAGCUACCUAUAGUAAUAUUUAUUCGUGACUUGUCUAUUAAUUUCUUGUUGAUUUUGGAUGGAGUGUGGGUACUCUUCUUCUUCUUCUUCUUUUCUUAAAUUUCAAUCUGUACUGAUCAAAACAGCAAACCGCAGUCAACCUCUUUACAGCUGAUUCUGCAAGGUUAUGCCCCAUAGAAAAGAUAACAGGGGUAUACCAGCACAAAAUCUCACACAUAUUCCCCUAGGGACUUGUCUGCAAUUCCAUGACAUACUUACCCUAUACAUUCCUAGCCAAAGAACAAAAUCAUCCCCAAUACCCUAUCGGCACAGCAAGACAGAGAGUAUAACACACUAUCCAGAUUAUACACAACAAUCACUCCACAAAAUAUUACUAUGAUCAUGGUUUGACCCUUAUAUCUUACUAUGAUCGUUCCUCGAGUUCCCUGUACGUUAUCGCUGGAAUAGUUAAAUUGUUUUUGAGGGUGGGCCAAAAGCCAUUUUGGUUUUAAAUAGCCUUGAUGUGCUAAACUUUCAGAAAGGAAAUGAGAUAAGAAAAAGGUGAGAAAAUGAGGGGAAAAUUCAAAAUGUUUUCCAAAAGAAAAGAGGAAAAAUAUCAAAAUGAGGGAAAUUUUAAUUAGUUUAUAUGGUGCAUGAAGAAAAUUUAUAUACGAAAAAUCAGGGAGGUGAAAGCACUAGACUACCUGUCCGUGAAAGGUGUAACUGAGCUUGGUUGGAGUAGGUGGAUGGAAGCAGCAAGUGAUUUAACAUGCUUCAACUUCUACUUGCAAGGGAUUUAAUUUACUUCUUUUGAAGGGCAAAGGCAAGUCAAGGUAUGCAAUCUAAGUUGCAAGGACCUCAUUGCCGGUGGUGGUCAUUGAAGCCUCUCAAAUUUGUGGUCAUUUUAGCUGAUGUGGUGAGAGGCAUAUGUUGGCUUCUUGUGUAGCCUUAACACCUUGUUUGCCUGUUUGUGGUUGCUUAGUAUCAAAUUUCUGCUAAAUUUGGGAAUUCCAAGUGAUAUUCAGGUUUUGCCUAAAAGGACUAAUGUUCCUGGGAUGAAGGCGUUUCAAUCCUUAUAUGGGCAAUCGGUUCAGCAGGCCCUAUAUGCCUCCUUAU